rnacentral:rRNA from 1 species
CCUACGGGUGGCAGCAGUGAGGAAUAUUGGUCAAUGGACGCAAGUCUGAACCAGCCAAGCCGCGUGCAGGAGGACGGCUCUGUGAAUUGUAAACUGCUUUUGUACGAGGGUAAACGCAGGUACGCGUAUCUGUCUGAGAGUAUCGUACGAAUAAGGAUCGGCUAACUCCGUGCCAGCAGCCGCGGUAAUACGGAGGAUUCAAGCGUUAUCCGGUUUAUUGGGGUUAAAGGGUGCGGAGGCGGGCGGGUAAGUUCGGGGUGAAAUCCCGAGGGUCAACGUCGGAAUUGCCUAUGAUACUGUUCGGCUAGAGAGGAGUUGAGGUAGGCGGAAUGGACGGUGUAGCGGUGAAAUGCUUAGAGAUCACACAGAACACCGAUUGCGAAGGCAGCUUACCA